rnacentral:rRNA from 1 species
CUACGGGUCGCUCCAGUGGGGAAUAUUGGACAAUGGGCGCAAGCCUGAUCCAGCAAUGCCGCGUGAGUGAAGACGGCCUUAGGGUUGUAAAACUCUUUCGCUAGGGAAGAUAAUGACUGUACCUAGUAAAGAAGUCCCGGCUAACUCCGUGCCAGCAGCCGCGGUAAUACGGAGGGGACUAGCGUUGUUCGGAAUUACUGGGCGUAAAGAGUUCGUAGGCGGACUGACAAGUUAGAGGUGAAAUCCCAGGGCUCAACCCUGGAACUGCCUUUAAAACUGUCAGUCUAGAGACCGGAAGGGUUAGGGGAAUACCUAGUGUAGAGGUGAAAUUCGUAGAUAUUAGGUGGAACACCAGUGGCGAAGGCGCCUAACUGGUCCGGUACUGACGCUGAGGAACGAAAGCGUGGGGAGCAAACAGGAUUAGAUACCCCUGUAGUC